GGAGACGGAAAGGACUGACAGACUGACAGCUCUUUCUUGAUUCUGUGGCUGGUGCUGUGUGGCUGCUCUUAGUUGGCGAAGCAAUUUGUCAUGCUAAUUCUGCUAAUGGCGUCACAUCCAGUUAUGUCCAAACUGCCUCCCUAGAGAAGCCAGACUGGCUCCCUCCUUGCCGUCCUUCCACCGGAGACUGAAGACUGCUUUAUUCUGACAGGCCUUUCAGAACCGACUGCCUUUUAAGGAAAUGGCUUUAAAUAGUGCCGUGCUGUUUUUAUUAUCUGUAUUUCAAUAAUUUUUUUUUAUUGUUUUAAUUCUGUUAGAGUUUAAACACUUUUUGAUAGUUAUCAUUUAUAUGUUUUUAGCU